rnacentral:rRNA from 1 species
UGGGGAAUAUUGGACAAUGGGCGCAAGCCUGAUCCAGCCAUGCCGCGUGAGUGAUGAAGGCCCUAGGGUUGUAAAGCUCUUUCACCGGUGAAGAUAAUGAUGGUAACCGGAGAAGAAGCCCCGGCUAACUUCGUGCCAGCAGCCGCGGUAAUACGAAGGGGGCUAGCGUUGUUCGGAUUUACUGGGCGUAAAGCGCACGUAGGCGGACUAUUAAGUCAGGGGUGAAAUCCCGGGGCUCAACCCCGGAACUGCCUUUGAUACUGGUAGUCUUGAGUUCGAGAGAGGUGAGUGGAAUUCCGAGUGUAGAGGUGAAAUUCGUAGAUAUUCGGAGGAACACCAGUGGCGAAGGCGGCUCACUGGCUCGAUACUGACGCUGAGGUGCGAAAGCGUGGGGAGCAAACAGG